rnacentral:rRNA from 1 species
AGUGAACGCUGGCGGUAGGCCUAACACAUGCCAGUCGAACGGCAGCACAGUAAGAGCUUGCUCUUACGGGUGGCGAGUGGCGGACGGGUGAGGAAUACAUCGGAAUCUACUUUUUCGUGGGGGAUAACGUAGGGAAACUUACGCUAAUACCGCAUACGACCUACGGGUGAAAGCAGGGGAUCUUCGGACCUUGCGCGAUUGAAUGAGCCGAUGUCGGAUUAGCUAGUUGGCGGGGUAAAGGCCCACCAAGGCGACGAUCCGUAGCUGGUCUGAGAGGAUGAUCAGCCACACUGGAACUGAGACACGGUCCAGACUCCCACGGGAGGCAGCAGUGGGGAAUAUUGGGCAAUGGGCGAAAGCCUGAUCCAGCCAUACCGCGUGAGUGAAGAAGGCCUUCGGGUUGUAAAGCCCUGUUGUUGGGAAAGAAAAGAAGCAGGUGAAUACCCCGCUGUUCUGACGGUACCUAAAGAAUAAGCACCGGCUAACUUCGUG